UUUUUUUUUUUUUUUUUAGAUGGAGUUUCUCUCUUGUUGCCCAGGCUGGAAUGCAGUAGCAGGAUCUCGGCUCACUGCAACCUCCGCUUUCUAGGUUCAAGCGAUUCACCUGCCUCAGCCUCCUGAGUAGCUGGGGUUACAGGCGUGUGCUACCACGCCUGGCUAAUUUUUGUAUUUUUAGUAGAGAAGGGGUUUCACCAUGUGGCCCAGGCUGGUCUCGAACCCCUGACCUCAGAUGAUCCACCGGCCUCGGCCUCCCGAAGUGCUGAGAUUACAGGCGUGAGCCACCUUGCCCGGCUCUCCUGUUUUUCUUGAAGGCCUGGAGGCAGUGCUCAGGCCUGCAGAAGAUGAAAGUCGCAGAAAGAAUCAGAAUUCUCAAGUUGGAAGGAAUUUUGAGAACAUCUCAUGCAAAGCUCAGCAGAGGUUUGGGGAAGUGACUUAGAAGCUGGGAUGGAGCCAGGCACCAUGGCUCCUGGCUAUAAUCCCAGCACUUUGGGAGGCUAAGGAGGGAGGGUCGCUUGAGUUCAGGAGUUUGAGGCUUCAGUGAGCUCUGAUUGAGCCACUGCACUCCAACCUGUUUGACAAAGUGAGACCCUGUCUCAAAAGAAUGAAAAGAAGCAGCAGCAGCUGGGAUGGAACUCAGCCUCCUCACUGUCAUCCAUGUCAGCUUCACGCCAAGCUGCUUCCGUAGUAGAGCAGUGGCCCUUGACUUGGCUGCUCAGGCUCCUACAGGGCACCUGGUGGGCCUCAGGCAUCCACAGGCCCCUAGAACAAUACGUGCAGGUGCAUUUUAGGGGAGAGAAGAUCCAUGGCCUUUAUCGGCUUCUCAAAAGGAGCCGCCAUUCAAAAGGAUGAAGAGCUUCUUUGGACUCUGUGCUGUUGUGACUAAAUGGGGGAAGGGAAGGUGCUGCCCACCUGCAUUUGGUGUAUACAGCCGGCCUUGAGACAUGAUCUGGGAGUUUCCUUGGCCUCAGGGCUCUGGCCAGCCCUUAUUCUAGCCUGGUUCUGCCAGGGGAAACCAGCUUACACGUCCCAGCCGGGAGCAGGGAGUGGGCCUUAGUGUGGGUGGAGGGAGUCUGUGGGCUUUGGCACUCUGGUUCCGAUCCAGAUUGGGUGGAGGCUGAAGGUUUUGUGGACCCUGUUGUGAAAACGAGUCAUGAGUCAUGAGUACAGAGUUCGGUUCAGGACCCA
rnacentral:lncRNA from 1 species